rnacentral:rRNA from 1 species
GCACGUAGUUAGCCGUUGCUUAUUCCUCAGGUACCGUCGGGUGUCUUCCCUGAGAAAAGAGGUUUACGACCCGAAGGCCUUCAUCCCUCACGCGGCGUGGCUGCGUCAGAGUUUCCUCCAUUGCGCAAAAUUCCUAACUGCUGCCUCCCGUAGGAGUCUGGGCCGUGUCUCAGUCCCAGUCUGGCUGGCCAUCCUCUCAGACCAGCUACGGAUCGAAGCCUUGGUGUGCCGUUACCACACCAACUAGCUAAUCCGCCGCAGGCCCCUCCCAAAGCGUCUUGCGACUUUGAGCACCGAAAUGGAUCGGUGGUCACAUGCGGUAUUAGCGACUCUUUCGAGUCGUUAUCCCCCACUUCGGGGCAGGUCACCUACGUGUUACUCAGCCGUUCGCCACUCACUUCAGUCCUUGCGGACUGAAGUCCGUUCGACUUGCAUGUUUUAUGCACGCCGCCAGCGUUUGUC